AGGACUGUAGUUAACUAUAACCUUUAAUUUGCAAUUAAAAAGUAUUGAAUAUUUCAAUCUGUCUUG
rnacentral:tRNA from 1 species